rnacentral:rRNA from 1 species
GAUGAACGCUGGCGGCGCGCCUAACACAUGCAAGUCGAACGAUUAAAGCACCUUCGGGUGUGUAUAAAGUGGCGAACGGCUGAGUAACACGUGGGCAACCUGCCCCUUUCAUUGGGAUAGCCACGGGAAACCGUGGAUAAUACCGAAUACUUCGAGACUUCCGCAUGGAAGACUCGAGAAAGCUCCGGCGGAGAGGGAUGGGCCCGCGGCCUGUUAGCUUGUUGGUGGGGUAACGGCCUACCAAGGCAAUGAUGGGUAGCUGGGUUGAGAGACCGACCAGCCAGAUUGGGACUGAGACACGGCCCAGACUACUACGGGAGGCAGCAGUGGGGAAUCUUGCACAAUGGGCGAAAGCCUGAUGCAGCGACGCCGCGUGCGGGAUGAAGGCCUUCGGGUUGUAAACCGCUUUCAGCAGGGACGAGGCGAAAGUGACGGUACCUGCAGAAGAAGCCCCGGCUAACUACGUG